GGCAUUGAUCUGUACAGAUUGGUAUCUAUCAUGUAAAUAUGUGUGAAAGAUGCUAUGCUGUGUAGAUUAAGGCU
rfam:Neotoma lepida isolate 417 scaffold_1944, whole genome shotgun sequence.